rnacentral:rRNA from 1 species
AUUGAACGCUGGCGGAAUGCUUUACACAUGCAAGUCGAACGGCAGCACGGACUUCGGUCUGGUGGCGAGUGGCGAACGGGUGAGUAACAUAUCGGAACGUAUCCAAUAAUGGGGGAUAACUAAUCGAAAGGUUGGCUAAUACCGCAUACGCCCUACGGGGGAAAGCAGGGGAUCUUCGGACCUUGCGCUAAUGGAGCGGCUGAUAUCUGAUUAGCGAGUUGGUGAGGUAAAGGCUCACCAAGGCGACGAUCAGUAGCUGGUCUGAGAGGACGACCAGCCACACUGGAACUGGGACACGGUCCAGACUCCAACGGGAGGCAGCAGUGGUGAAUUUUGGAGAAUGGGCGCAAGCCUGAUCCAGCCAUUCCGCGUGAGUGAAGAAGGCCCUCGGGUUGUAAAGCUCUUUCGCAAGGGAAGAAAACUUACUUUCUAAUAAAGAGUGAGGUUGACGGUACCUUGAUAAGAAGCACCGGCUAACUACGUGCCAGCAGCCGCCGUAA